UUUCACACAGCGUCGACCUCUUAUGGUUAUCAUCGAUUCUCAAAUCUCAUUCUACGUUCCCACAGAAAAUACAGACCAUUGGAAUUGCUAUAGGCUUUACUGCCGAUGGAAAUCGUCAAUCCAUUUGCAUUUUCAAGUCAAAGUCUGAUGGAGCAAGUGCGUAUAUAGUUGGGUGCCCCUCUUGUUUUGAUUCAUUCAGAUUUACCGAACAGUCCGAGUCAAGCUACUGGGUUUCGGAUGAACCCAUACAUUGAACUCUACAUCUGCCCUUGGGUGGGAGGCAUGAAGUCAAUAGUAAUUCAAAAUAUAAAGAAGAAAACAUACCAUGAAGUCAAAGACAUUCAACAUCUACAUGUAAUUUUCCGGCGCCCAUGCAUGAAGUAGGAAGAUCUUUUGGUCUGCUGUGGACGUUCAAUGCUGGAAACUGUUAAGUUUUUGUUGCUCAAGCACAAUGCUUUUUUAACUCUAUGGAAAAUCAAAGUUCUGGGGUAAAGUCCAGAGCGGAGCCAGAAUUUCAAGCUUAUGGGUUCGAGAUUCUAAUCAUUUUAAGUUACUGGGUUCAAAUUAAUUAGUUGUACAUAAUUAGUGAAAUUUUAAGACAAAUACAUGAUUUGAAUAGCUAAUGGUUUCGGCCGAACUCGUAACCCACACUGUGGCUCCGCCUCUAGGGUAAACCUCUCAAGGCUAGAGUAGAUGGACUCACACUGAGUGUUUUAAUUGGGAUUUGAGUAUCGAAUCUCCAUGUUGUUACUUCUAUGCCUCUAUCACUCACCUAUCCUCUCCUGAUAAUUGGCUCGAUAAUUUGUUAACUGUUUAUUCGGAGUUGAGUAGUACAUAUAUAUCAAAAAUUGCCUGCU